GUUAGGAAUAUUGGACAAUGGGCGAAAGCCUGAUCCAGCCAUGCUGCGUGAACGAUGAAGGCCUUCGGGUUGUAAAGUUCUUUAGCCGAUGAUUAUAAUGACUGUAGUCGGAAAAUAAGCCCCGGCUAACUUCGUGCCAGCAGCCGCGGUAAUACGAAGGGGGCGAGCGUUAUUCGGAAUCACUGGGCGUAAAGCGUGCGUAGGCGGUUUUGUAAGUUAGGAGUGAAAGCCCAGGGCUCAACCUUGGAAUUGCUCUUAAAACUGCAAGGCUCGAAUCUCGGAGAGGAUAGCGGAAUUUCCAGUGUAGCAGUGAAAUGCGUAGAUAUUGGAAGGAACACCAGUGGCGUAAGCGGCUAUCUGGACGAGUAUUGACGCUGAGGCACGAAAGCGUGGGGAUCAAACAGGAUUAGAUACCCUGGUAGUCC
rnacentral:rRNA from 1 species